GACGAACGCUGGCGGCGUGCUUAACACAUGCAAGUCGAACGGACGUGCCUUCUGUUUUGUUCUCUGGUGUUAGCGGCGGACGGGUGAGUAACACGUGGAUAACCUACCUAUCGGACUUGGAUAACUUCGUGAAACCGGUGCUAAUACGGGAUGAUCUUUUGAAUCGGCUUGUGCAAGUGUGUAUGGCGUCCUUGCUGUUGGUUUUUCAUCGGUCCGUGGUGCCUUAGCUAGUCGGCAGGGUAGCGGGUUACCAACGCAACGAUGCGUUGGCGACCGGCGGGGGGGGUGGGCCACACUGGAACUGGGACACGGUCCAGACUCCUACGGGAGGCAGCAGUGGGGAAUCGGGCGCAAUGGGCGGAAGCGUGACGGAGCAACGCCGCGUGAGUGAUGAAGGUCUUCGGAUCGUAAAACUCUGUUAUGAGGGAAGAACAUAUGUGUAAGUAACUGUGCACAGCUUGACGGUACCUAAUCAGAAAGCCACGGCUAACUACGUG
rnacentral:rRNA from 1 species